rnacentral:rRNA from 1 species
AGAGGGCGUGAAACCGCUUAGAAGGAAACGAGAGGCGCCGCAUCUUUCAGCGAGAUUCACCUGCCUUCGCUGCUCUGUAGUGAUGGUGGGGCAUUUCUCGUUGGAGUGCACUGAGAGCAGUGUCGAUCGUUUUUUCAGCCAGUCGUAGCAAAGCACUCCGGUGCCGUUUAUGUUGGUAAAAAUUCGAACGAUACUGUUUGUAAGCAUCCUUUAACAGCUCGGCGUCCGCCGACCAUUCUCCAUUCAUUCGAGUUCGGCCUAGUGUCGGCUAGUUUGAUUUGGUGAUUGCUAGGUUGAUAGUUGAGUAGGUGCAGUCUCGGUGUGAACGUCGGCUACCCUCCCGACCCGUCUUGAAACACGGACCAAGGAGUCUAACGUAUGCGCGAGUCAUUGGGUUUAUAAAACCUACAGGCGCAAUGAAAGUGAAGGCUGGCUCGGUCAGCUGACGCACGAUCCGUUCGGCUUGCCAGGCGGCGCAGUGCGGUCCCAUCUCACAUGCUUGUCAUAGAGGUGGAGAUUGAGCGCAUAUGUUGGGACCCGAAAGAUGGUGAACUAUGCCUGAACAGGAUGAAGCCAGAGGAAACUCUGGUGGAAGUCCGAAGCGGUUCUGACGUGCAAAUCGA